AACAACGCUGGCGCGUAGCCUAACACAUGCAAGUCGAACGCGAAAAUCGGCUUCGGCCGAUGAGUAAAGUGGCGCACGGGUGAGUAACGCGUGGAUAAUCUACCCUUCAGUUGGGAAUAACUUAUCGAAAGGUGAGCUAAUACCGAAUAAAACUGCCUGACCACGGUCGGGUAGUCAAAGAUAGCCUCUGCUUGCAAGCUUUCGCUGAAUGAUGAGUCCGCGUACCAUUAGCUAGUUGGUGGGGUAAUGGCCCACCAAGGCGACGAUGGUUAGCUGGUCUGAGAGGAUGAUCAGCCACACUGGAACUGAGACACGGUCCAGACUCCUACGGGAGGCAGCAGUGAGGAAUCUUGCGCAAUGGGGGAAACCCUGACGCAGCAACGCCGCGUGAGUGAGGAAGGUCUUCGGAUCGUAAAGCUCUGUCGGGUGGAAAGAAAUGUAUGGGGUUAAUAGCCUUCAUACUUGACGGUACCACCAAAGGAAGCACCGGCUAACUCCGUG
rnacentral:rRNA from 1 species